CCUACGGGUGGCAGCAGUGAGGAAUAUUGGUCAAUGGACGAGAGUCUGAACCAGCCAAGUAGCGUGAAGGAUGACUGCCCUAUGGGUUGUAAACUUCUUUUAUAAAGGAAUAAAACGAGGCACGUGUGCCUUUUUGCAUGUACUUUAUGAAUAAGGAUCGGCUAACUCCGUGCCAGCAGCCGCGGUAAUACGGAGGAUCCGAGCGUUAUCCGGAUUUAUUGGGUUUAAAGGGAGCGUAGAUGGGUUGUUAAGUCAGUUGUGAAAGUUUGCGGCUCAACCGUAAAAUUGCAAUUGAUACUGGCAGUCUUGAGUGAGAGAGAGGUAGGCGGAAUGCGUGGUGUAGCGGUGAAAUGCAUAGAUAUCACGCAGAACUCCGAUUGCGAAGGCAGCAUACCGGCGCGCAACUGACGCUGAUGCACGAAAGUGUGGGUAUCGAACAGGAUUAGAUACCCGGGUAGUC
rnacentral:rRNA from 1 species